rnacentral:hammerhead_ribozyme from 1 species
ACACUACUGAGGAGUCCCACAAUAGGACGAAAUGAUUGUCCAGUGU